GAUUACUCUGACACUUUUUCUCCUAUAGCUAAAUUUACUUCUGUUCGCUUGUUUAUCUUUUUAGCAGCUACAUAUGAUUGGCCUCUGCACCAAUUAUAUAUCAAGAAUGUCUUUUUUCAUGGUGAUCUUCAAAAGGAGGUGUAUAUGGAGUGACUACCAAGAUUUGUUACUAAGGGAGAGUUAGGUAAAGUUUACAGACUUCAAAAGUCUCUUUAUGGCCUAAAACAAAGUCUUAGGACUUGGUUUGGGAGAUUCAAUGAAGCAGUACAAGAUUUUAGUGUACAAAAUAGUAAGUGUGAUCAUUCAGUAUUCUAUAGGCAUUCUAAGGCUGGCUUAAUUCUGUUGAUAGUGUAUGUUGAUGAUAUUGUUA
rnacentral:misc_RNA from 1 species